UAGGCUGGCCAUUUUCAAAAAAAAAAUAAUUGUGCAUAUAUAUUACAUAUGAACGUAUUUAUUUUAGUGUAUUUUGACAUUUUUUAGGUGUGCUAAAUGGCUUGAAGUUAUUCAGUUACCAAGUUUAUUCAAGAAGAGUUAUGCACAUCACAACAAAAGCUACAGGGUAUGCAGUUUCCACUUUUCAUCCGGAAAUUAUACUAAUGGAAACUCAGAUUCUAGACUUCUCCAUGCUUGCCCAGACCAAAACCUUAGCUACUGCAAACGUGCAAGCCAAGGGUCUGAAACUCUCUCUUUCUCAGAAAAUAUAGACAUUGAUUUUGGAAAGAUGCUUUAUGUAUUUACAUAUUAUUUGUGUAAAUAAAAGAAAAGGAUCA